rnacentral:rRNA from 1 species
UGGGCACUCUAAGGAGGAACCUGUCGGUGGACAAACCGGAGGAAGGUGGGGAUGACGUCAAGUCAUCAUGGCCCUUACGGCCUGGGCUACACACGUGCUACAAUGGUCGGUACAAAGGGUUGCCAAGCCGCGAGGUGGAGCUAAUCCCAUAAAACCGAUCGUAGUCCGGAUCGCAGUCUGCAACUCGACUGCGUGAAGUCGGAAUCGCUAGUAAUCGUGAAUCAGAAUGUCACGGUGAAUACGUUCCCGGGCCUU